GAUGCCGAGCCGAUUGUGGUGAAGUGGAUGAUCCUAUGCUGUCGAGAAAAGCCUCUAGCGAGUUUCAUGGCGGCCCGUACCCUAAACCGACUCAGGUGGUCAGGUAGAGAAUACCGAGGCGUUCGGGUGAACUAUGGUUAAGGAACUCGGCAAAAUGCCCCCGUAACUUCGGGAGAAGGGGGGCCAUCACUGGUGAUUGGAUUUACUCCAUGAGCUGGGGGUGGCCGCAGAGACCAGCGAGAAGCGACUGUUUACUAAAAACACAGGUCCGUGCGAAGCCGUAAGGCGAUGUAUACGGACUGACGCCUGCCCGGUGCUGGAACGUUAAGGGGACCGGUUAGUCACUCUUCGGGGUGGCGAAGCUGAGAACUUAAGCGCCAGUAAACGGCGGUGGUAACUAUAACCAUCCUAAGGUAGCGAAAUUCCUUGUCGGGUAAGUUCCGACCUGCACGAAUGGCGUAACGACUUCUCGACUGUCUCAACCAUAGGCCCGGUGAAAUUGCACUACGAGUAAAGAUGCUCGUUUCGCGCAGCAGGACGGAAAGACCCCGGGACCUUUACUACAGUUUGAUAUUGGUGUUCGGUUCGGCUUGUGUAGGAUAGCUGGGAGACUGUGAAGCGGGCACGCCAGUGCUUGUGGAGUCGUCGUUGAAAUACCAGUCUGGUCGUGCUGGAUGUCUAACCUGGGUCCGUGAUCCGGAUCAGGGACAGUGUCUGAUGGGUAGUUUAACUGGGGCGGUUGCCUCCUAAAGAGUAACGGAGGCGCCCAAAGGUUCCCUCAGCCUGGUUGGCAAUCAGGUGUUGAGUGUAAGUGCACAAGGGAGCUUGACUGUGAGACCGACGGGUCGAGCAGGGACGAAAGUCGGGACUAGUGAUCCGGCGGUGGCUUGUGGAAGCGCCGUCGCUCAACGGAUAAAAGGUACCCCGGGGAUAACAGGCUGAUCUUCCCCAAGAGUCCAUAUCGACGGGAUGGUUUGGCACCUCGAUGUCGGCUCGUCGCAUCCUGGGGCUGGAGUCGGUCCCAAGGGUUGGGCUGUUCGCCCAUUAAAGCGGUACGCGAGCUGGGUUUAGAACGUCGUGAGACAGUUCGGUCCCUAUCCGCUGUGCGCGUAGGAAUAUUGAGAAGGGCUGUCCCUAGUACGAGAGGACCGGGACGGACGAACCUCUGGUGUGCCAGUUGUCCUGCCAAGGGCAUGGCUGGUUGGCUACGUUCGGGAGGGAUAACCGCUGAAAGCAUCUAAGCGGGAAGCCUGCUUCAAGAUGAGUAUUCCCACCCCCUUGAGGGGUUAAGGCUCCCAGUAGACGACUGGGUUGAUAGGCCAGAUCUGGAAGCCCGGUAACGGGUGGAGGUGACUGGUACUAAUAGGCCGAGGGCUUGUCCUC
rnacentral:rRNA from 1 species